rnacentral:rRNA from 1 species
GACGAACGCUGGCGGCGUGCUUAACACAUGCAAGUCGAACGGAAAGUGCUCUUCGGAGUGACUCGAGUGGCGAACGGGUGAGUAACACGUGGGUGAUCUGCCCUGCACUUUGGGAUAAGCCUGGGAAACUGGGUCUAAUACCGAAUAGGACCAUGGCAUUCAUGUGCUGUGGUGGAAAGCUUUCUCGGUGUGGGAUGGGCCCGCGGCCUAUCAGCUUGUUGGUGGGGUAAUGGCCUACCAAGGCGACGACGGGUAGCCGGCCUGAGAGGGUGACCGGCCACACUGGGACUGAGAUACGGCCCAGACUCCUACGGGAGGCAGCAGUGGGGAAUAUUGCACAAUGGGCGCAAGCCUGAUGCAGCGACGCCGCGUGAGGGAUGACGGCCUUCGGGUUGUAAACCUCUUUCAGUAGGGACGAAGCGCAAGUGACGGUACCUAUAGAAGAAGGACCGGCCAACUACGUGCCAGCAGCCGCCGCGG